GUGCUCACUUUGGCAGCACAUAUAUUAAAACUGAAACAAUACAGAGAAGAUUAGCAUGGUCCCUGCACAAGGAUGACAUGCAAAUAUGGAAGCAUUCCAUAUUUUC
rnacentral:snRNA from 1 species